rfam:Myotis lucifugus cont2.17076, whole genome shotgun sequence.
GGCAGUUUUUGGAUGAUGCACUCCGGAAUCGGGCUCCCUCCUCUCUGGUUCCAGGGUGCAUCACCUGAGAACCACU